rnacentral:rRNA from 1 species
AUUGAACGCUGGCGGCAGGCCUAACACAUGCAAGUCGAACGGUAACAGGAAGCAGCUUGCUGCUUCGCUGACGAGUGGCGGACGGGUGAGUAAUGUCUGGGAAGCUGCCUGAUGGAGGGGGAUAACUACUGGAAACGGUAGCUAAUACCGCAUAAUGUCGCAAGACCAAAGAGGGGGACCUUCGGGCCUCUUGCCAUCGGAUGUGCCCAGAUGGGAUUAGCUUGUUGGUGGGGUAACGGCUCACCAAGGCGACGAUCCCUAGCUGGUCUGAGAGGAUGACCAGCCACACUGGAACUGAGACACGGUCCAGACUCCGACGGGAGGCAGCAGUGGGGAAUAUUGCACAAUGGGCGCAAGCCUGAUGCAGCCAUGCCGCGUGUAUGAAGAAGGCCUUCGGGUUGUAAAGUACUUUCAGCGGGGAGGAAGGGAGUAAAGUUAAUACCUUUGCUCAUUGACGUUACCCGCAGAAGAAGCACCGGCUAACUCCGU